CCGUUGCUCGGGAGAAACGACCGGCGAACACGUGAUCGAAUCGCAUGCUGCCGAGGAGGCGCCGCCGCCUCGGUCAGCCCGGCCUCGGCCUCUCGCCGUCCGGCGAUGGGGUCGGGCGCCGGACACGGCGCGGAAUGUCGCCAAGGAACACGAUACGAGCGGAGGCAGCCGGCGGGCCGCCCCAGCGCGGCUCCCGCUGCCGAUGCAGAUCGAAAGC
rnacentral:misc_RNA from 1 species